rnacentral:rRNA from 2 species
CCCAGACUCCUACGGGAGGCAGCAGUAGGGAAUCUUCCGCAAUGGACGAAAGUCUGACGGAGCAACGCCGCGUGAGUGAUGAAGGUUUUCGGAUCGUAAAGCUCUGUUGUUAGGGAAGAACAAGUACCGUUCGAAUAGGGCGGUACCUUGACGGUACCUAACCAGAAAGCCACGGCUAACUACGUGCCAGCAGCCGCGGUAAUACGUAGGUGGCAAGCGUUGUCCGGAAUUAUUGGGCGUAAAGGGCUCGCAGGCGGUUUCUUAAGUCUGAUGUGAAAGCCCCCGGCUCAACCGGGGAGGGUCAUUGGAAACUGGGGAACUUGAGUGCAGAAGAGGAGAGUGGAAUUCCACGUGUAGCGGUGAAAUGCGUAGAGAUGUGGAGGAACACCAGUGGCGAAGGCGACUCUCUGGUCUGUAACUGACGCUGAGGAGCGAAAGCGUGGGGAGCGAACAGGAUUAGAUACCCUGGUAGUCCACGCCGUAAACGAUGAGUGCUAAGUGUUAGGGGGUUUCCGCCCCUUAGUGCUGCAGCUAACGCAUUAAGCACUCCGCCUGGGGAGUACGGUCGCAAGACUGAAACUCAAAUGAAUUGACGGA